rnacentral:rRNA from 1 species
GAUGAACGCUGGCGGCGUGCCUAAUACAUGCAAGUCGAGCGAACGGACGAGAAGCUUGCUUCUCUGAUGUUAGCGGCGGACGGGUGAGUAACACGUGGAUAACCUACCUAUAAGACAGGGAUAACUUCGGGAAACCGGAGCUAAUACCGGAUGAUAUUUUGAACCGCAUGGUUCAAAAGUGAAAGACGGUCUUGCUGUCACUUAUAGAUGGAUCCGCGCUGCAUUAGCUAGUUGGUAAGGUAACGGCUUACCAAGGCAACGAUGCAUAGCCGACCUGAGAGGGUGAUCGGCCACACUGGAACUGAGACACGGUCCAGACUCCUACGGGAGGCAGCAGUAGGGAAUCUUCCGCAAUGGGCGAAAGCCUGACGGAGCAACGCCGCGUGAGUGAUGAAGGUCUUCGGAUCGUAAAACUCUGUUACUAGGGAAGAACAUAUGUGUAAGUAACUGUGCACAUCUUGACGGUACCUAAUCAGAAAGCCACGGCUAACUACGUG